rnacentral:rRNA from 1 species
CUACGGAGGGUGCAAGCGUUAUUCGGAAUCACUGGGCGUAAAGGACGCGUAGGCUGGUUGGCAAGUCAGAUGUGAAAUCCUACAGCUUAACUGUAGAACUGCAUUUGAAACUGCUAACCUAGAGUAUGGGAGGGGGAGAUGGAAUUAGUGGUGUAGGGGUAAAAUCCGUAGAUAUUACUAGGAAUACCGAAAGCGAAGGCGAUCUCCUGGAACAUAACUGACGCUAAGGCGUGAAAGCGUGGGGAGCAAACAGGAUUAGAUACCCUAGUAGUCC